CACGUAGUUAGCCGGUCCUUAUUCCCCACCUACCGUCAACCCCGGGAGAACCCGGGGCCUGCGUGAGUGGUAAAAGAGGUUUACAACCCGAAGGCCGUCAUCCCCCACGCGGCGUCGCUGCGUCAGGCUUUCGCCCAUUGCGCAAGAUUCCCCACUGCUGCCUCCCGCAGGAGUCUGGGCCGUGUCUCAGUCCCAGUGUGGCCGGUCGCCCUCUCAGGCCGGCUACCCGUAAUCGCCUUGGUAGGCCGUUACCCCACCAACAAGCUGAUAGGCCGCGAGCCCAUCCCCGACCGAAACAACUUUCCACCCGCACCCCAGGCAGGGGCGGGUCGUAUCCGGUAUUAGACGGCGUUUCCACCGCUUAUCCCAGAGUCAGGGGCAGGUUGCUCACGUGUUACUCACCCGUUCGCCGCUCGUGUACCCCGAAGGGCCUUACCGCUCGACUUGCAUGUGUUAAGCACGCCGCCAGCGUCGUCCUGAGCCAGGAUCAAACUC
rnacentral:rRNA from 1 species